GAUGAACGCUGGCGGCGUGCCUAACACAUGCAAGUCGAGCGAAGCGAUUUGGCGGAAGUUUUCGGAUGGAAGCUAAAUUGACUGAGCGGGCGACGGGUGAAGGUACGCGUAGGUAACCGUGCCUCAUACAGGGGGAUAACAGUUAGAAAUGACUGCUAAUACCGCAUAAGCGCACAGCAUCGCAUGAUGCAGUGCGAAAAACUCCGGUGGUAUGAGAUGGACCCGCGUCUGAUUAGCUAGUUGGUGAGGUAACGGCUCACCAAGGCGACGAUCAGUAGCCGACCUGAGAGGGUGAUCGGCCACAUUGGGACUGAGACACGGCCCAA
rnacentral:rRNA from 1 species